GGGCUGCCUGGCUGUCCCCUCCUGGGAUCUGGAUUUGCUGGAGCUUCUCAUUAAGACAGACACAACUUGGCAGAAGACCAAAGGAUUCCUUCCGAUCUCUUAGAGGUUUCCUGAGAGCACAGAUGGAUGAGCGAGACUCAGCUGGCCCUGGAGCAGGAAGAGGACAUGCCAUCCAAAGUGGGAGCAGUGGGGGAUUCUGGGA